UCAAAGUUUUCAGACCACAGACCUGUUUAUGGCAUAUUUUGUGCUGAGGUUGAGUCAACUCAUGGCAGAUUGAAGAAAACUAUGAGUUGUUCUCGUUCCAGAAUUGAGGUGGAGGAACUUCUGCCAUAUUCUGGUGGAUACACUGAGCUGAGUUUUUUCUAAAGGAAGAAAGCAAUUGGUCCCCCAUUACCAAGCUGGAAUUACUUUGAAGAAAACUCAUUCAUGGAGGGAGAUAGGGACAACCCAUUUCCCACAUACCCAAAAAGUUUAUAAUCUGUAGUUUUGGGCUACAGUCAUGCUUUGCCUAACACAUGAUCAGUACAGUACAUCAUCAUCUU